UCGCCUGUUUUUCAAAAACAUGGCUUUUUGGUAAUAAUUUAAAGUCUGGCCUGCCCACUGAAAGUUUAAAUGGCCGCGGUAUUUUGACCGUGCUAAGGUAGCAUAAUCAUUAGUUUUUUAAUUGAAAGCUGGAAUGAAGGGUUGGAUGAAAAAAAAGCUGUCUCUAAAUUAUUUAGGAAGAAUUUUAUUUUUAAGUAAGAAAGCUUAAAUUAGUUUGAAAGACGAGAAGACCCUAUAGAGUUUUAUAUAAAAUAAAUUAUUUAUAUUUUGGGAUUUUGAAAUAAAUAUUUAUUUUGUAUUUGAUUGGGGUGAUUGAAAAAUUUAAUAAACUUUUUUUUAUUUAGACCAUUUAUUUAUGAAAAUUUGAUCCAUAUUUAAUGAUUAAAAGAAAAAAUUACCUUAGGGAUAACAGCGUAAUUUUUUUUGAGAGUUCUAAUCGAAAGAAAAGAUUGCGACCUCGAUGUUGGAUUAAAAUUAAUUUUUGGUGUAGAAGCUAGAAAUAUUAGGUCUGUCGACCCUUAAUC
rnacentral:rRNA from 1 species